rnacentral:rRNA from 1 species
UACGAAGGGGGCUAGCGUUGCUCGGAAUUACUGGGCGUAAAGGGAGCGUAGGCGGAUAGUUUAGUCAGAGGUGAAAGCCCAGGGCUCAACCUUGGAACUGCCUUUGAUACUGGCUAUCUUGAGUAUGGGAGAGGUGAGUGGAACUCCGAGUGUAGAGGUGAAAUUCGUAGAUAUUCGCAAGAACACCAGUGGCGAAGGCGGCUCACUGGCCCGGUACUGACGCUGAGGUGCGAAAGCGUGGGGAGCAAACAGG